CCUACGGGGGGCAGCAGUGAGGAAUAUUGGUCAAUGGACGAGAGUCUGAACCAGCCAAGUAGCGUGAAGGAUGACUGCCCUAUGGGUUGUAAACUUCUUUUAUAUGGGAAUAAAAUGUUCCACGUGUGGGAUUUUGUAUGUACCAUGUGAAUAAGGAUCGGCUAACUCCGUGCCAGCAGCCGCGGUAAUACGGAGGAUCCGAGCGUUAUCCGGAUUUAUUGGGUUUAAAGGGAGCGUAGGUGGAUUGUUAAGUCAGUUGUGAAAGUUUGCGGCUCAACCGUAAAAUUGCAGUUGAAACUGGCAGUCUUGAGUACAGUAGAGGUGGGCGGAAUUCGUGGUGUAGCGGUGAAAUGCUUAGAUAUCACGAAGAACUCCGAUUGCGAAGGCAGUUCACUGGACUGCAACUGACACUGAGGCUCGAAAGUGUGGGUAUCAAACAGGAUUAGAUACCCUUGUAGUC
rnacentral:rRNA from 1 species